rnacentral:rRNA from 1 species
UACGGAGGGCGCAAGCGUUGUUCGGAAUUACUGGGCGUAAAGCGCGUGUAGGCGGCCUGACAAGUCGAAUGUGAAAUCCCGGAGCUCAACUCCGGAACUGCAUACGAUACUGUUAGGCUCGAGUCUCGGAGAGGAUGGCGGAAUUUCCGGUGUAGAGGUGAAAUUCGUAGAUAUCGGAAGGAACACCAGUGGCGAAGGCGGCCGUCUGGACGAUGACUGACGAUGAGACGCGAAAGCGUGGGGAGCAAACAGG